ensembl:snRNA Gm24870 predicted gene, 24870
GUGCUCGCUUCGGCAGCACAUAUACUAAAAUUGGAACGAUACAGAGAUUAGCAUGGCCCCUGCGCAGGAUGACACACAAAUUCAUGAAGCGUUCCAUAUUUUU